rnacentral:rRNA from 1 species
GCAAUACACGAAAGUGUGACAGAGCUAUCCCGAGUGCCAUCCGCUGAGGAAGGCUUUUACCCAGUAUAAAUAGCUGGGAGAAUAAGGAGAGGGCAAGUCUGGUGUCAGCCGCCGCGGUAAUACCAGCUCUCCGAGUAGUGUGGACGUUUAUUGGGCCUAAAGCAUCCGUAGCUUGCUAGAUAAGUCCUCUGUUAAAUCCACCGAUUCAAUCGUUGGAUUGCGGGGGAUACUGUUUGGCUAGGGGACGGGAGAGGUCGACGGUAUUUCCGGGGUAGGGGUGAAAUCCUAUAAUCCCGGGAAGACCACCAGUGGCGAAGGCUGUCGACUAGAACGCGCCCGACGGUGAGGGAUGAAAGCUGGGGGAGCGAACCGGAUUAGAUACCCGGGUAGUCCCAGCUGUAAACGAUGCAGGCUAGGUGUUUGGGCGGCCACGAGCCGCCCUAGUGCCGCAGGGAAGCUGUUAAGCCUGCCGCCUGGGGAGUACGGCCGCAAGGCUGAAACUUAA